rnacentral:rRNA from 1 species
AGUGAACGCUGGCGGUAGGCCUAACACAUGCAAGUCGAACGGCAGCACAGUAAGAGCUUGCUCUUACGGGUGGCGAGUGGCGGACGGGUGAGGAAUACAUCGGAAUCUACUUUUUCGUGGGGGAUAACGUAGGGAAACUUACGCUAAUACCGCAUACGACCUACGGGUGAAAGCAGGGGAUCUUCGGACCUUGCGCGAUUGAAUGAGCCGAUGUCGGAUUAGCUAGCUGGCGGGGUAAAGGCCCACCAAGGCGACGAUCCGUAGCUGGUCUGAGAGGAUGAUCAGCCACACGGGAACUGAGACACGGUCCAGACUCCUACGGGAGGCAGCAGUGGGGAAUAUUGGACAAUGGGCGCAAGCCUGAUCCAGCCAUACCGCGUGGGUGAAGAAGGCCUUCGGGUUGUAAAGCCCUUUUGUUGGGAAAGAAAAGCAGCAGGUUAAUACCCCGCUGUUCUGACGGUACCCAAAGAAUAAGCACCGGCUAACUUCGUG